rnacentral:rRNA from 1 species
CUACACAUGCAAGUCGAGCGGAUGACGGGAGCUUGCUCCUUGAUUCAGCGGCGGACGGGUGAGUAAUGCCUAGGAAUCUGCCUGGUAGUGGGGGACAACGUUUCGAAAGGAACGCUAAUACCGCAUACGUCCUACGGGAGAAAGCAGGGGACCUUCGGGCCUUGCGCUAUCAGAUGAGCCUAGGUCGGAUUAGCUAGUUGGUGAGGUAAUGGCUCACCAAGGCGACGAUCCGUAACUGGUCUGAGAGGAUGAUCAGUCACACUGGAACUGAGACACGGUCCAGACUCCUACGGGAGGCAGCAGUGGGGAAUAUUGGACAAUGGGCGAAAGCCUGAUCCAGCCAUGCCGCGUGUGUGAAGGAGGUCUUCGGAUUGUAAAGCACUUUAAGUUGGGAGGAAGGGCAGUAAGUUAAUACCUUGCUGUUUUGACGUUACCGACAGAAUAAGCACCGGCUAACUCUGUGCCAGCAGCCGCGGUAAUACAGAGGGUGCAAGCGUUAAUCGGAAUUACUGGGCGUAAAGCGCGCGUAGGUGGUUCGUUAAGUUGGAUGUGAAAGCCCCGGGCUCAACCUGGGAACUGCAUCCAAAACUGGCGAGCUAGAGUACGGUAGAGGGUGGUGGAAUUUCCUGUGUAGCGGUGAAAUGCGUAGAUAUAGGAAGGAACACCAGUGGCGAAGGCGACCACCUGGACUGAUACUGACACUGAGGUGCGAAAGCGUGGGGAGCAAAACAGGGAUUAGAUACCCUGGUCAGUCCACGCCGUAAACGAUGUCAACUAGCCGUUGGAAAUUCCUUGAGAUUUUAGUGGCGGCAAGCCUAAACGGCAUUAAGUUUGAACCGGCCCUGGGGGA